GCGAGGAGACGGCGCUUCGAGGCCAGGGGUCGGGCGGCCGCCACCUCCUCCAGCAGCGGAGAAGGCGCAGCCGGCGGGCGCACCGGCCGCCGCAGCGACCCUGCGCGCAGGGAGGGAGGAGGAGGCGGCGGAGGAGGAGGAGAGCGGCUCAAGGAGACUUGAUUUUCGUGGAUUUGCUGCAAUUCCUUAAAUCAAACCAGGCUUUCGGGGCGUUAAAGUAAAUCGCCGGUGGCGGUGUGGAAGCCCAGCCAGGAGCUUCCAGGGGUGCUUUCCGAAAAAGAAGAGUGAAUCCGCUGGACUAAGCCAGCACGGGAUCUGAAAAACACCCAGAGGAUCCCAUCCAGGAUCUCACAGAGCUUUUAGUCAUUGCAUCUCCGUUAUAAGUCUCCAAUCUGAGAUGGUGCCUCCGUUCAGAGAGUAUUUAUCAAAAAUGUUUUCUCCCGAGAUUGUGGCUGUUGUAAAGUACAUUUGAUUGUAUAGGAGAAAGACAAUUGAACGUUAAAAAUGGAGAAACUGAGUCUCCCCAAAGGUUGCACCAUCCUUCAAGUUAUACAUAGGACUAAAAGAGCACAUGGCUUACCUAGGAGGUAAAGAUGAGAACAGCUUCUGCUUGCUGGGCACCGCCUUGAAAAGAAAUACUUUUGAUCGGCUUGGAAUGAAAUGCAGAUAAACUCUUUAGAAAACUUUCGUAGGAAAAGCGCCUCGUGUGAUCUGGAACAAAGACAUUUUAUAAUCAGAUUUAUCAAGCUGGGAAGAGGGAGUUUUUAGCGAACGGAAGCAGCAGCAUUCUGUCACCAGGAAAUACUGCUUUAUCCAGAAUGGGUAAGUGAAAAGUGGCAUUGCUCCCUAAUAGAUGUCAUAUGGUGUGGGGGGGAAUUGUAAAAUUGUUCACAGACCCCUCACAACUGUGUCGAACCAAGGAACACAUCAACAGAGCGAGGAAUUCUAAGAGGAAGCAGCCCAAGAAUACAGCAUAAAGGCUGAAAAGAAGCCAGGUAAUUAACACAGAUGAGUGGAGCGUUCCCAGUUUAGCCAAAUACAUGUAGUACAACCAGUUUGGCUUCUCCCCCCCCCCUCCUUUUCUUUUUUAUGAGGGGAAGGAAAAUAAAAGUGAGUUCUUUGGGGAGAGGUUUGCGGCAUUACCUUUCUGUGGCUAUAGAUUUCCAUUUAGUCGGAACAGUGUGCCUGAUAGAUAGUUGAAGAAAUGCUUUCAGAAUUAGUCGACUUGCCCUCCUUUUCCUCCUCCUACCCCAGGAUUUCAGAAUUUGGUUAGAAGUCUACAAAAUGGAAGUUUAAGCAAUGCAUUGGAAACAUUUCUUGCUGAUUGCGAAGGGCAGCUGAGAUGGUAAUAGAUUUAGGUUUGCAUUUGUGUCCUGAAUUUUAAGACUGUUCCAUUUGAUGACAUUAGUACAGUAAAAGGGUGGUUGUUUCUCUGUGGUUCGUUUUGAGAGAUGUUUCGACACAUGAUGAUCAGCAGUUCUUACUGGUGUGCCUGUGUCUCUCUUUCUCGGAGACCUUAAAUACAGUUUUCGGAUCUGAGAUCUGAGCUGCCACUAGGUUAACAUUUUCAGAACAGGACAAUGAGGCUUUGAGUACCUGUGUUCUGUACAGUAGGUUCUUGCUCAUGAACUGUAAGGAAACACAAUUUGCUAUCAGGGAUGAGUGCCUUGAUUUCUUGAUGUGGCUUCUUAGGAAUCGGCAAAGGGGGAUAAAGUAAGAAAAUAAGAAUGGUGGGUGGCUCCCUGUCUUUUUACCAGUUUCCCAUUGGUCCAUAGAAGCAAUCAUGUGAUGUCCCCUUAUAGAAUCAGAUGGAAAAAUACUUCGUCCUUUCACGUCUAGCAAACAUCUAGGGCAUUUGGGUGAUCUCCCUGGAUGUGUGUGUGAAGAAUCUACAUAAGUCAUGAAAACUGUUAGUGACAGAAUCAUAAGCUUUGGGUUCUAGAGGAAGCGGUGUUAUUUAUUUACUUUGUAAAGUCCCUGAUUUCAAAUUGAAAGUUUGGAUCUGCAUGGCUAACUUCGGGUUUUCCUUCUCUUACUUUCAACAUCUUAACAUCCUCACCUCAAAGGGGGAACCUGUAUGAGAACGAGGGUAGCAAUUCUGCACUUUGUCUCCUUGACAAAAGGAGGAGAUGAAGGUGGAGGAGCAGGAGGUGAAUCUAGUGGGCUCUGUUAAUUGGUCUUUUUUUUUUUCCUGCUUAUGUACUUUGAGAACUUUUUAAGAUGAUUUUUUUUCCCUCGGACUUCUUAGCUCUCAAGCCUUCUGUAUAGGUAUUUAUUUUUAAAGAAAUAGAUAAAGAGCAACUGAAGCACAGCCAUGAAGGGCCAGUCCUCUAAGAAAUGAGAUGAGUGACCUAAACUUGUGACAAGUACAAGUUACUUGACUUAAUUAAGGUGUGGCAAGGCUGUGGAACCACGCUGCUCCUUUCCCUGGAGUACACGGACUUAGAGAUCGCAAAGUCUUGAAGACAGAAAAAUGGUGACAAGGCAUUAAGCUAUUGCCAGGUAAUUUAUAUUCGACUGCUGGCUUGUGUUCACUGCUUCACAAUUAUUUUCAGCUCUGUAUUUCAUGUAAAUACUUGGGGAGAAACAUGAUGAUUUCAUAAUCUGUCUAAACACGGCCAUGCUUCAUGGAAAAAAAAAGCCUCUAUAUAAUUUUUCGGUUCUACUCAUCCAUUUAGAAGCCAUUGUUUUGCAUGACAGAAAGAGGACAAGAAGCAGGUUGAAACAACAAAUGCUAGAACAAAUUCCAGAAGCAUUCCUUGAGAUCUUCAUGCUUUCGAUUCUAGGUGUUCUUCUCUGUUAUCCGUUUAUUACUUUCCAAAAAUAACACGGAAAAUAAAUAACAGAGCAUUCAUUGCCCUGAAUGCUUUUUAAAAAGGCAUCAACAGCAGGCACGAAUCUUCCGGCUGCGAGGCUGUGUAAAGCUCCGGACUGAAGGGGCUCAGGUCAAGGGGCAGACCUCCAAAUAAUUGCGCUCCAGCCGUAUAGAUGUUGGCAUCAUCAGGAACCCGAGCACGUUCCCUUUGGGCUUGUAUUUUAAUGUUUGCUGUGGCAUGCAGUUUGGCCCAGCGAAACUUCUUGAGGUGUGUGGGGGGGUGUGUGAUUGCAAGGGGGAACUUGACAUCACUAGCGGGGGACAAGCGGCCGUUUGUCAGAAGCUAGAUAAGCCUCACGGUGUUGUUCCUAUGACAACUGAGGGGCUGGGUGUUGAAAUGUAGCUUUAAGUUCUCGGUUUGCAAAUGUCACUCAGACCUCCCACUCCAGCCUCACUGAGUAGGCGGAUAAUGAGAAGGGGGGGAAAAACCACGAAGCAACCUAAGUACCUGCAUUCAGUUCCUGUCUUCCUGGCUUGCUUUCUGUGUACCCAUCACCAUGGGAGGGGUAAACACAGGUCUUGAGCAAAGCGAUAGGUCAGGGUCACGUAAACGGAAAGGGGGUCCGAGAAGUUGCGGGAGAUAAAUAAUGACAGAUGGGGGGACUAAAGAGGCAAGAGAUGUCGGCUUCCAUGAGUUCGUGCAAAUCCGUUCUCCAGCACUGACCAGCAGUGCAAACAUCUUGAACCCGUUAUUGUAUAGCUCUUCAGCAGCUGCCCAUAUUUCCUUAAAUGCAACGUGGGGAAAAUUCCUUUGGUAGCUGAAUAGCUUACCCCGUGGGCAUAACAUUGCUGCAUCUCCCCAGGAUUGCCUGUGGCGCGCCCGGGAUUCAUUUAAGGGCCAUGUCUUUUUUUUUUGGUCUUUUUGCCGUUUUGCCAUUUCGAGGGCUGCACCCGCAGCAUAUGGAGGUUCCCAGG